AGGGCUCGCUCUGUUUAUACACUAUAUAAAUCCAUAGAUAGAUAGAAGCAGGGCUCGCUCUGUUUAUACACUAUAUAAAUCCAUAGAUAGAUAGAAGCAGGGCUCGCCCUGUUUAUACACUAUAUAAAUCCAUAGAUAGAUAGAAGCAGGGCUCGCUCUGUUUAUACACUAUAUAAAUCCAUAGAUAGAUAGAAGCAGGGCUCGCUCUGUUUAUACACUGUAUAAAUCCAUAGAUAGAUGGUAGCAGGGCUCGCUGUGUAAUUGUCCUAUUGAUGUCUGGCUGUUAGAGAUGGGAUUUUAGCAGGUGUAAUUGUUUUUUAUACUGUAGCAUUGUGCUGUGCUGAGGGCUGGGGUGUAACCUCUCUUGCUAUUCCCCCAGGGCAGUUAUAUGGUGAUGUGCUAUAUUUCUACACGGAAUAUCGGGAAGGAUUCAGUCAUAGCGAGAUGUGGCACCCGCUCUAUUUCUGGUUUUAUUUUGUGUUUAUGAACGCCUUGUGGAUUGUCAUUCCCUCCGCACUGAUUGUGGACUCCUGGAUCAACUUGAGCCGAGCGCAGCAUUCUGCAGAUUCCUCCCGGCCCUCCAGCAAACAGAAAAGGAACUGAUUCCAAAUUGCGCUCCCAGGCAGACAGAGAGAGUACGGAAUUUAAUGAGCCAUGUACCCACCAGUGUGCAUUAGAAAUCUCUGUAUGUGUGAGGCCAGGGGCUCUGUAUGUGUGAGGCCAGGGGCUCUGUAUGUGUGAGGCCAGGGGCUCUGUAUGUGUGAGGCCAGGGGCUCUGUAUGUGUGAGGCCAGGAGCUCUGAGCUCUGUAUGUGAGAGGUGGGGAGCUGUCAGGGUUAUUUCUUUAAGUGAGAAUUUUGGUAAAUGCAUAGUGAGUUUCCCAUUUUAAGUCCCUACUUCAUCUCCGUAUAAACGUCUGUGUGCAGUGUGUCCUGUUAGUCCUCGGGUUAAAUCCCCCUCUAUUAUUGACAGUAAGAAUCAGUCACAUGACGUGGACAUUCUUCUAGGAAAGCACUGAUUGUAUGAGAAGCAUUCGAUUAGACCACUGUAGAGGAGACAAUGCUUCCUACGUGACAUCGUGGGAGCCAGCGACGAGCUUGUAUUUGUGACGUAUUACUGUUCCUUUAAGGCUGGAUGCAGAGCUGGAUUAACGAGUAUUUACUUCAUAUUCUCACUUUCUGUGCAUAGAUAUAAUUUGUGUAAUUACAUACAAUUAAACAUGCUUUAGCCCUUGUAUCUCUCCUGGGAGAUUGUUUGAACUUUGUCACUUUUCUACAAAUACAACAUCCUUUAUAUUAUGUACAGUGUACGUUAUAUGUUGGUGCUUUUAAAAAUGACAAUUACAAUCUAUAAAAAUAAAAAAGUGUUUUUAACAGUUGUG